rnacentral:tRNA from 1 species
GGUUUUAUAGUAUAAUGGUAUUACAAUUGGUUGUCUGCCAAAAAAUCAGAGUUCGAUUCUCUGUAGAACCG